GUGCCUCUGGUGUGUGGUGUGUGUCUGUGUUUGUUGGUGGUGUGUGUGCUGUGCUCUCUGAUGGUUCUCAAAAGGAAGAGACCAACUGACCAAUCACAAGCUCGUGCAGCACCUCUUCAGGGAAACACCAUCUCAUCCACACCACCACAGGCAGAAGAGGAGGGUCUUCAUGUGUACGAUGAGAUGGUUGGCAUGACAACCUACAGUGCCAUCCAAUCAGCAUCAGCCAUUUACAGCCUCGCUGGACCCUCACCCGCCCUU